rnacentral:rRNA from 1 species
UACGUAGGGUGCGAGCGUUAAUCGGAAUUACUGGGCGUAAAGGGUGCGCAGGCGGUCCUGCAAGUCAGGCGUGAAAUCCCCGGGCUUAACCUGGGAAUGGCACUUGAAACUACGGGACUGGAGUAUGGCAGAGGGAGGUGGAAUUCCACGUGUAGCGGUGAAAUGCGUAGAGAUGUGGAGGAACACCGAUGGCGAAGGCAGCCUCCUGGGCCAAUACUGACGCUGAGAAGCGAAAGCAUGGGGAGCGAACAGG